UACGUAGGCAGCAAGCGUUGUUCGGAAUUACUGGGCGUAAAGAGUGUGUAGGCGGUGCCCUAAGUUUGGUGUGAAAUCUCCCGGCUCAACUGGGAGGGUGCAUCGAAAACUGGGGUGCUCGAGGGUGGGAGAGGUAAGCGGAAUUCCUGGUGUAGCGGUGAAAUGCGUAGAUAUCGUAAGGAAGACCAGUGGCGAAGGCGGGUCUCUGGACAGUUCCUGACGCUGAGGCACGAAGGUCAGGGGAGCAAACGGG
rnacentral:rRNA from 1 species